rnacentral:rRNA from 1 species
CUACGGGACGCUCCAGUGGGGAAUAUUGCACAAUGGGCGCAAGCCUGAUGCAGCCAUGCCGCGUGUAUGAAGAAGGCCUUCGGGUUGUAAAGUACUUUCAGCGGGGAGGAAGGGAGUAAAGUUAAUACCUUUGCUCAUUGACGUUACCCGCAGAAGAAGCACCGGCUAACUCCGUGCCAGCAGCCGCGGUAAUACGGAGGGUGCAAGCGUUAAUCGGAAUUACUGGGCGUAAAGCGCCGGAGGCGGUUUGUUAAGUCAGAUGUGAAAUCCCCGGGCUCAACCUGGGAACUGCAUCUGAUACUGGCAAGCUUGAGUCGCGUAGAGGGGGGUAGAAUUCCAGGUGUAGCGGUGAAAUGCGUAGAGAUCUGGAGGAAUACCGGUGGCGAAGGCGGCCCCCUGGACGAAGACUGACGCUCAGGUGCGAAAGCGUGGGGAGCAAACAGGAUUAGAUACCCGGGUAGUC